rnacentral:rRNA from 1 species
UACGCAGGAUGCAAGCGUUAUCCGGAUUCACUGGGUUUAAAGGGCGCGCAGGCGGCUCGGAAAGUCGGAUGUGAAAACUCGGGGCUCAACCCCGAGCGUGCACCCGAUACUGCCGGGCUUGAGGCAGGUAGGGGAGAUCGGAAUUCCUGGUGUAGCGGUGAAAUGCGCAGAUAUCAGGAGGAACACCGAUGGCGAAGGCAGCUCGCUGGGACGGUACUGACGCUGAGGCGCGAAAGCGUGGGGAGCAAACAGG